UUUACUUCAACCCUAAGUCUGUGCUUCAUAUUCUGUAUGUAUCGCUAUAAGUGUUCAAAAUAGCACUACACAUGGUCCGUUUUGUUGCUUCAAAGAAUUGACACCGGCUGUUCGUCAGCUGGCUUAAUUUCAGACACAGGACUAAAUAGUUUAUUGAGGGAAAACUUGUUCUCCUAAAGUUAAUACACUACUUAUUCUCGGACUAAUAAGGAGUGGGAGGACUCACCGGAUUUCGACUCAUCUCAUGUCAACCCAACCUCUCCCUGCAUCGGAUCAGCACACGUGGGAAGCCCAGGCCUUGAAGAUAGGAUGAAUACAAAGAUGAACAUGUUUUCCAGACUCUUAGUUUUAUGACCUUGACAUUCAACAAUCUGCUCAUGACAAGUGCUUAAUCUUUUGGCAUGGCUGUGAUAAUGACUCCCCCUUCCUUGUGAGAAUCUAUGAUCCCCAAGCGGGGCACUAAGAGGAGGAGGACCAGAGGCAAGAAUGCAUGUCUGACUGUGGAGAGAGACGCAGGCAAAGGGAUGGAGAGAAAGCAAACCGACAUCAGGGGGCGAGGACAGGCAACAAAGAUUCUGGCAAAAUGUUGAAUCUGCCAACAUCUUGGUUUAAUUUUGCAUCUGGGUCCACGCCAGAGCGAAGGGAUGAGAGCAAAGACUUCACAUCAUAUCCAAGUCUGAAGAUCAUAUCACAGUCCCGCAGAUGGACUCUGAGUUGAACUCCUUGUUUAUGACAUAUGAACAAA